UAAAGGAACUGAAUGAACAGUAGACUGAGAGGUAUUUUAGGUUUUCGCAACAACACCGCUCGGCGGUGGAAAGAGAGACGCGACGGAGGGACAGGGGGGGAGAGAGAGAGAGAGAGAGCGCGCCGGAGGCAGAGGAAGAUAGAGAGAGGUUCGGCGGUGAUGGGGGCUCCGGCUAUUGUCUCCGGCCGACGAUAAUGCUGUCGAUCGUCGCUGAAUGGGAACUUGACGGCCGUGGGUUCUAGGGUUCCGGCGACGGUACCGGUCACUCUAAUCGGUGGUCGAUUCUGGAGACGGAAUGGGAGAGUUGAAGGUGAUCUUGAACAACCACAACCUCAGAGACUUGAAUCGUGUUUCAGCGACAAUUUCGAAAUUGAGGAAGGCAUGUCAAAAUUCACUGGUUGAAGCCUUGCGAAAGAUUAGGAAGGUUCAUAGUCCAAGUUGUUUAUUUUAAACAAGGGUUAAGAAGCAAAGUCACCAACGCAUUUCGGUACAUGGCUAUUUUCAUAAUUUCUUUGUAGAAAUCGGCCACAUUAAUUUGUGGAUACGCCAAACACAUUCGCAUGAAAAUAUCAAAAAGUAAUGCAUAUUUUCAUAUGGUAAUUUUUUUAUUAACGAAUUAUUAAUUGUUAAACAUCUAUUUUGCUAUAAUAGAAUAUACUUUAUAAACUUACACUUAAGACAAAACUUAAUCAAUAUCUAGACCAUUCAGAAAUGCUGAAAAGGUUUUAUUUCCAUUAAGUUUGUUCUUAAACACCGAUGAGUACCGCUGCAAAGCGCAGGUGGGAAUAAGCGGUUGGUGUAGGUGGAAGGUGUUGUCAGUAGGCAGGCGUGUCUGGAAGCUCCUUUGAAGAUUGGAGUGAAAACGGUGAUGGUAGAACAGAUGGAGAAUGAUAUCGGGAAGCCUACAUUGUAAGUUUUUUUAACCAUUUAAUCACUUAUUAUCUUUGCAUAAAUCGUGGUUCAGGGGUCGAUGCAGUUAUCAUUUCAGAUUACAUAUUUUGUAGCUAGCAAUUCAAAUAACUAAAAGGAUUCAUCAAUCUGUGUGACUGAGGAUAUGUUAAUAUGAGAGACACAUGUUGAGAUGUUUGUUUGGGUUGGUUAGCAUGUAGACUCCAAGGAAAGGCAAAGUGCUUUUGAAAUUGGGCAUGUACCUGUUUAGCAUAUCUUCUAUCAGUAAUAUUGCAAGCUUAUUUUUGUUGUCUAAUAUGUUUUUAAUGAAAGAUAUCGGAAUACAUAAGAAUUCGCUGCAUCUCUAGAUGGGCUAUCCCCAUAUGUACAUAGAAGGAAACCAACCUAACUUCUU